rnacentral:rRNA from 1 species
UGUGAGCUCGAUGAGUAGGGCGGGACACGUGGUAUCCUGUCUGAAUAUGGGGGGACCAUCCUCCAAGGCUAAAUACUCCUGACUGACCGAUAGUGAACCAGUACCGUGAGGGAAAGGCGAAAAGAACCCCGGCGAGGGGAGUGAAAAAGAACCUGAAACCGUGUACGUACAAGCAGUGGGAGCACGCUUAGGCGUGUGACUGCGUACCUUUUGUAUAAUGGGUCAGCGACUUAUAUUCUGUAGCAAGGUUAACCGAAUAGGGGAGCCGAAGGGAAACCGAGUCUUAACUGGGCGUUAAGUUGCAGGGUAUAGACCCGAAACCCGGUGAUCUAGCCAUGGGCAGGUUGAAGGUUGGGUAACACUAACUGGAGGACCGAACCGACUAAUGUUGAAAAAUUAGCGGAUGACUUGUGGCUGGGGGUGAAAGGCCAAUCAAACCGGGAGAUAGCUGGUUCUCCCCGAAAGCUAUUUAGGUAGCGCCUCGUGAAUUCAUCUCCGGGGGUAGAGCACUGUUUCGGCAAGGGGGUCAUCCCGACUUACCAACCCGAUGCAAACUGCGAAUACCGGAGAAUGUUAUCACGGGAGACACACGGCGGGUGCUAACGUCCGUCGUGAAGAGGGAAACAACCCAGACCGCCAGCUAAGGUCCCAAAGUCAUGGUUAAGUGGGAAACGAUGUGGGAAGGCCCAGACAGCCAGGAUGUUGGCUUAGAAGCAGCCAUCAUUUAAAGAAAGCGUAAUAGCUCACUGGUCGAGUCGGCCUGCGCGGAAGAUGUAACGGGGCUAAACCAUGCACCGAAGCUGCGGCAGCGACGCUUAUGCGUUGUUGGGUAGGGGAGCGUUCUGUAAGCCUGCGAAGGUGUGCUGUGAGGCAUGCUGGAGGUAUCAGAAGUGCGAAUGCUGACAUAAGUAACGAUAAAGCGGGUGAAAAGCCCGCUCGCCGGAAGACCAAGGGUUCCUGUCCAACGUUAAUCGGGGCAGGGUGAGUCGACCCCUAAGGCGAGGCCGAAAGGCGUAGUCGAUGGGAAACAGGUUAAUAUUCCUGUACUUGGUGUUACUGCGAAGGGGGGACGGAGAAGGCUAUGUUGGCCGGGCGACGGUUGUCCCGGUUUAAGCGUGUAGGCUGGUUUUCCAGGCAAAUCCGGAAAAUCAAGGCUGAGGCGUGAUGACGAGGCACUACGGUGCUGAAGCAACAAAUGCCCUGCUUCCAGGAAAAGCCUCUAAGCAUCAGGUAACAUCAAAUCGUACCCCAAACCGACACAGGUGGUCAGGUAGAGAAUACCAAGGCGCUUGAGAGAACUCGGGUGAAGGAACUAGGCAAAAUGGUGCCGUAACUUCGGGAGAAGGCACGCUGAUAUGUAGGUGAAGUCCCUCGCGGAUGGAGCUGAAAUCAGUCGAAGAUACCAGCUGGCUGCAACUGUUUAUUAAAAACACAGCACUGUGCAAACACGAAAGUGGACGUAUACGGUGUGACGCCUGCCCGGUGCCGGAAGGUUAAUUGAUGGGGUUAGCCGCAAGGCGAAGCUCUUGAUCGAAGCCCCGGUAAACGGCGGCCGUAACUAUAACGGUCCUAAGGUAGCGAAAUUCCUUGUCGGGUAAGUUCCGACCUGCACGAAUGGCGUAAUGAUGGCCAGGCUGUCUCCACCCGAGACUCAGUGAAAUUGAACUCGCUGUGAAGAUGCAGUGUACCCGCGGCAAGACGGAAAGACCCCGUGAACCUUUACUAUAGCUUGACACUGAACAUUGAGCCUUGAUGUGUAGGAUAGGUGGGAGGCUUUGAAGUGUGGACGCCAGUCUGCAUGGAGCCGACCUUGAAAUACCACCCUUUAAUGUUUGAUGUUCUAACGUUGACCCGUAAUCCGGGUUGCGGACAGUGUCUGGUGGGUAGUUUGACUGGGGCGGUCUCCUCCUAAAGAGUAACGGAGGAGCACGAAGGUUGGCUAAUCCUGGUCGGACAUCAGGAGGUUAGUGCAAUGGCAUAAGCCAGCUUGACUGCGAGCGUGACGGCGCGAGCAGGUGCGAAAGCAGGUCAUAGUGAUCCGGUGGUUCUGAAUGGAAGGGCCAUCGCUCAACGGAUAAAAGGUACUCCGGGGAUAACAGGCUGAUACCGCCCAAGAGUUCAUAUCGACGGCGGUGUUUGGCACCUCGAUGUCGGCUCAUCACAUCCUGGGGCUGAAGUAGGUCCCAAGGGUAUGGCUGUUCGCCAUUUAAAGUGGUACGCGAGCUGGGUUUAGAACGUCGUGAGACAGUUCGGUCCCUAUCUGCCGUGGGCGCUGGAGAACUGAGGGGGGCUGCUCCUAGUACGAGAGGACCGGAGUGGACGCAUCACUGGUGUUCGGGUUGUCAUGCCAAUGGCACUGCCCGGUAGCUAAAUGCGGAAGAGAUAAGUGCUGAAAGCAUCUAAGCACGAAACUUGCCCCGAGAUGAGUUCUCCCUGACUCCUUGAGAGUCCUGAAGGAACGUUGAAGACGACGACGUUGAUAGGCCGGGUGUGUAAGCGCAGCGAUGCGUUGAGCUAACCGGUACUAAUGAACCGUGAGGCUUAACCUU